rnacentral:rRNA from 1 species
GAUGAACGCUGGCGGCGUGCCUAAUAUAUGCAAGUCGAGCGAACAGACGAGGAGCUUGCUCCUCUGACGUUAGCGGCGGACGGGUGAGUAACACGUGGAUAACCUACCUAUAAGACUGGGAUAACUUCGGGAAACCGGAGCUAAUACCGGAUAAUAUAUUGAACCGCAUGGUUCAAUAGUGAAAGACGGUUUUGCUGUCACUUAUAGAUGGAUCCGCGCCGCAUUAGCUAGUUGGUAAGGUAACAGCUUACCAAGGCAACGAUGCGUAGCCGACCUGAGAGGGUGAUCGGCCACACUGGAACUGAGACACGGUCCAGACUCCUACGGGAGGCAGCAGUAGGGAAUCUUCCGCAAUGGGCGAAAGCCUGACGGAGCAACGCCGCGUGAGUGAUGAAGGUCUUCGGAUCGUAAAACUCUGUUAUUAGGGAAGAACAAAUGUGUAAGUAACUAUGCACGUCUUGACGGUACCUAAUCAGAAAGCCACGGCUAACUACGUG